rnacentral:rRNA from 1 species
UACGGAGGAGGCAAGCGUUAUCCGGAAUUAUUGGGCGUAAAGCGUCCGCAGGUGGCUGAGUCAGUCGAUUGUGAAAGCCCUGGGCUUAACCUGGGAAUUGCAGUCGAUACUACUCAGCUAGAGUAUGGGAGAGGGCAGUGGAAUUCCCGGUGUAGCGGUGAAAUGCGUAGAUAUCGGGAAGAACAUCGGUGGCGAAGGCGCUCUACUGGACCACAACUGACACUCAGGGACGAAAGCUAGGGGAGCGAAUGGG